CCUCCGGGAGGCCGCAGUGAGGAAUAUUGGUCAAUGGGCGGGAGCCUGAACCAGCCAAGCCGCGUGAAGGAAGAAGGCGCCAGGCGUCGUAAACUUCUUUUGUCGGGGCACAAAGGGCGCCACGCGUGGCUUUGUGAGUGUACCCGAAGAAAAAGCAUCGGCUAACUACGUGCCAGCAGCCGCGGUAUUACGUAGGGGGCAAGCGUUAUCCGGAAUUACUGGGUGUAAAGGGAGAGUAGGCGGCAAGGUAAGCGAUAUGUGAAAGCCUUAAGCUUAACUAAAGGAUUGCAUAACGAACUAUCUAGCUAGAGUACAGGAGAGGAAAGCGGAAUUCCUAGUGUAGCGGUGAAAUGCGUAGAUAUUAGGAAGAACACCAGUGGCGAAGGCGGCUUUCUGGACUGAAACUGACGCUGAGGCUCGAAAGCGUGGGGAGCGAACAGGAUUAGAUACCCCUGUAGUC
rnacentral:rRNA from 1 species